rnacentral:tRNA from 1 species
CAGCUUAGUUGGUAGAGCAUGAGAUUCUCAAUCUUGGGGUCAUGGGUUUGAGCCCCACGUUAGGGG